rnacentral:rRNA from 1 species
UACGGGGGGGGCAAGCGUUGUUCGGAAUUACUGGGCGUAAAGCGCGCGCAGGCGGCACUUCAAGUAAGGUGUGAAAGCCCCCGGCUCAACUGGGGAGGGUCACUCGAUACUGAUCGACUCGAAGGCAGGAGAGGGAAGUGGAAUUCCCGGUGUAGUGGUGAAAUGCGUAGAUAUCGGGAGGAACACCAGUGGCGAAGGCGACUUCCUGGCCUGUUCUUGACGCUGAGGCGCGAAAGCUAGGGGAGCAAACGGG